rnacentral:rRNA from 1 species
ACGGUGAGGGAUGAAAGCUGGGGGAGCAAACCGGAUUAGAUACCCGGGUAGUCCCAGCUGUAAACCAUGCAAACUCAGUGAUGCAUUGGCUUGUGGCCAAUGCAGUGCUGCAGGGAAGCCGUUAAGUUUGCCGCCUGGGAAGUACGUACGCAAGUAUGAAACUUAAAGGAAUUGGCGGGGGAGCACCACAAGGGGUGAAGCCUGCGGUUCAAUUGGAGUCAACGCCG